GCCAUUCGGAUUCUAGACUUGGCUCCUCAGUUUGGUACGGAGCUUGAAAGCAGGAACUAGGAGAAGUUGGCUACAUAUCCUGUGCCAGCUAACAUUGAGGCUGUGAAGGAAUUUUACACUAAUGCCUUAUCCAGAGGAGUGCACAUGGAGAGGUACACUAGUUAUGUGCUGGUGACCCCAAGACUAUUAACAACUUCCUGGG
rnacentral:lncRNA from 1 species